rnacentral:rRNA from 1 species
UUAAUAGUAAAAUCUGCUCAAUGAAUAUUUAUAUAGCCGCAAUUCGUGCUAAGGUAGCAUAAUCAUUUGUCUUUUAAAUAAAGACUAGAACAAAAGAUUUAACAUUUUAAUUUUUUUAUUAAAUUUAAAUUUUAAAUUUAUCUUUAAUGUAAAAAGACAUUAAUCCUUAAGAUAGACGACAAGACCCUAUUGAACUUAACUUUAGUUUUACUGGGGCAGUAAAUUAAUUAUUAUUUUAAUUAAUUUGAAUCAACAAAUAUCCAAUAAUUUGGAUUAUUCAGUUACCAUAGGGAUAACAGCACAAUUAUAUUUUUAAGACCCAAUUUAAAAUAUAGAUUAUGACCUCGAUGUUGAAUUAAUAACCUAAUUCUUUAAAGCAAAUUUUAAAAAAGGAAGUCUGUUCGACUUUUAAACAAUUACAUGAUUUGAGUUCAGACCGGUAUAAGCCAGGUCGGUUUCCAUCUUCUCAAUAAAUUUUUACAGUACGAAAGGACCUAUAAGUAUAAUUAAAUUAAUUAAUUGGCAGAAAAAUGCAUUAGAAUUAGAAUCUAAUUAAUCUUAU